AGCAGCCGCGGUAAUUCCAGCUCCAAUAGCGUAUAUUAAAGUUGUUGCAGUUAAAAAGCUCGUAGUUGAAUUUCGGGAUCAAUAUGUUGGUCGUGCCUUGGUACGUACUAAUUUAUUGGUUUCUUCCUUCUGACGAACCAUGAUGUCACUAAUUUGGUGUCUUGGGGAAUCAGGACUGUUACUUUGAAAAAAUUAGAGUGUUUAAAGCAGGCUCACGCUUGAAUACAUUAGCAUGGAAUAAUGAAAUAGGACGUUUGAUUCUAUUUUGUUGGUUUCUAGGAUUGACGUAAUGAUUAAUAGGGAUAGUUGGGGGCAUUAGUAUUCAAUUGUCAGAGGUGAAAUUCUUGGAUUUAUUGAAGCUAACUACUGCGAAAGCAUUUGCCAAGGAUGUUUUCAUUAAUCAAGAACGAAAGUUAGGGGAUCGAAGACGAUCAGAUACCGUCGUAGUCUUAACCAUAAACUAUGCCGACUAGGGAUCGGAUGAUGUUAAUUUUUAAUGUACUCAUUCGGCGCCUUACGG
rnacentral:rRNA from 1 species